ensembl:misc_RNA 7SK 7SK RNA
CCGCUCCCGAGGCUGCAUACUCGGUCGAAAAGGAGGAGCAUCCCCCAUAGAGGAGGACAGGUCAAGGAUAUAGGAGUAGCUGCACGCCCCUGUUAACAAGC